GCAGCCGGGACGGUAGCUGCGGUGCGGACCGGAGGAGCCAUCUUGUCUCGUCGCCGGGGAGUCAGGCCCCUAAAUCGAAGAAGCCCUGGCGCGCCCUCCCCCCCUCCCGGGUCUGUCCUGUGCCUCCUGAUUGCUGAGUGUUCACCUGGACCUUCUGACUACCUUCCCUGUGCUAUUCCAUCAGCCUACAGACCUGGUACCUGGAUUUUUGCCCGAGAUGAUUCCUACCACCUUACUACUGACGAAGACACCCAUUCCAGUGGACCACUGUGACCCAGGAGGCAUUCAGCCAUCAUGAUGUGGCCUUUACCUCCACUCCUGUCUUGUUCUACCCAGAUUCAGCACAGCCCUUUAUAGUGAAGUCAGAGUCCUCAAGCCAAAUAGCUAAAGCUGUUUUAUCACAACAAAGGCCUAGUUUGUUCCAUGAGUGUGCAUUUCAUUUCUUCAGUUAAAGCCUUCAGAGACACACAAUAAAUUUGGACCAGGGGAUUUUUUAGUUAUUAAUGCUCUCUGAAGAAAGGCAACAUCUUUUUGAGAGCAGCAUUGGACCACACCCCACAAUCUCAAAUGAUUGAAAUUCAUGAACAUCUAGGAUCCCGUGAAGGUCACUGGACCCUGUUUUUUCUACUUCAAAUCCUGUAGUAGCCUACUGAAUGAGAAAACAUAUUCUGACCCAUUGGGAUCAAAUCAAAGGCACAGUGAACUCCUCAUAGCAUCUUCUUUGGAAUUACUCAGGAACCAGAACUUUUUACACAAAUGUAAGAAAUUCUACCAAGGAGUCCCCUUACCUAACAGCAUCUCACAAGGCUGCACCAGAUUCCAGAAAAGGCUUCUCUUGAUACAUCAAGGCUUUGUGGCCAUGAAGCCCUUUGAGUGAAAACUGUGCAGAAGCCCAGAGUAAAAGUGAAGCUGCUCUGGAUGAAGUAGUGAAGCAAGAGUAGGGGCCUGAAUCCUGCUACAACUAUCUUCCUUUACCACCGUGGUGACACCUAAGGGGACUUCCUUACAACACCUUGAACUCUUCCGAACACAGUUUGAAAACCACUGCCCCAGACAGCAAUAUGUUUGACCUGAAUGGCAUUCCAAUCUUUUCUGUACCUCCACUCAGCACAGUUCAUGUUCAGUAGAUGCUGAACAUUCUUAGAAAUACUGUGUGUGAACUUAGAAAAGUGCAAGAAGACAGGCAUGUCUUUGACCCCAGGAAUGAUCAUUUGCUGAAGAUGGUGUCAAGUGAACCUAGAUUAACAGCCCUCCACUCCAGAUGGAUAUCCAGUGAUUCCUAGAAUGGGAUAUAGCCAGAGAACAAUUCUAUGCACCCUACACUGACAGACUCCCUUAAGCAACACCAGAUGCUCUACUGGUACUUGAAGUACAUGACUUUGAAGUCUUGACCCUCCAUGAAUACCUGAAUUAUCAGCAAGCGGGUUUUGAAGCUGGUGCCUCAUUGAGGCCAUAUUAGAGCAACUUGUACAUUUGACCUCUUGUUAUCAGCCAUGGUACUCUACUUCGUGUGCAAGAGAUAACUAUGAAAGCCAAAUUCAAAUACUGGCAACAUUUCCUAAAGGGGCUCAAUAUCUAUCAUUCGUCUUCUUUUCCAAACUACACAUCACUGUAUGACUCAACCAGUAGCAGUUAUAUUGCCCCUUGGUUUUUAUUCAGUUUAACUACUGUUUCCAAGAUAAAUGAGCUAAUAAGCUUUAAAAAAAAAAAAAAAAAAGGCUGAAUUCUUUUUUCUUCAUCACUGGCAUAUCUGCCUAUUCUCCAGAAUUAUUAUGACUAUUCAGCUCACUUUAACAGUUGAACUUCAAGCGACAAUCUUUGAACACCCCUUCUCAUGUGAUUUAAAAUGAAACCAUUUGGAAAAGUUUCUUCUAGCCAGUAAUAGAUUUUUUUUUUAAUUGCUCUGCCUUGUGCCGAGAGAUGUUCUUUUAAGAUGAAUCUUUUGAUGUCUGAUACCACCAAAUAUAGGUGGUAGGGAGAGUUGGAGGCUGGCCCUUUGAGCAGGCCAUUAGCUUACUUGCUGGGCAUUUCCGAUAGCUUAUUGCCUACCUUUUUGCUGGAAACAAACUGAUUUGAAAAACAAAAUCUAUGAAGACUGCAGCUAAGGAUUUUAUCGGUAGACUUAAGAGCUUUUGUCCUUGUGGAUAUUUUAGUGGAACCACAUCAGUCUCAAUACUGUCAUUUUACACUGACUCAGAGCAGCUGACUUCAUUCCUUGCCAUGAUAUAUAUUUAAGGCAGGCAUUGUAACAGACAUAAAGACAACUUAUCUGUUUCAGCAGGAAGGAUUCAGUUUAUGAACUCUCAGACCAGAUCAUGUUGAACAAGGAGACUUUGAUGUGUGUCAUGAGAAAACUCAUUCUUUACUUCCCAGUCAAUUUAAAGGCCAGCUAUCCUGAGCUACUCGAAUGAAUGCACUGGUUAAACAUUGGAAAUAGUUUGUUUAUAUCCUUGUCUCUCUCUAGGCCAAUUGUGAUUACAUGACUCGACUCUACAUCUCGUCAAACAAGGCCUAGGUCUGGUUGCUGUAGACUGCUCGCCCUCAACAAAUAAAAUCUGGUUGACUAGCCUCCUUGUAUAUACAACUAUUAUUUGUUAAGAAGAAAUUAUCGUCAAUUUUCUACUACCUUCCAAUUGUCAGCUCUUUUUUUCCUCUCUGGUUUUUCCUAUACUUUACAGAAAAAGACAUUGAUCUAUACUGCCAUUCCCUCUAAUCCUGCCAUACUCAGUCAAAAGGAAUGACUUAAGAUGAAGAUGAUCAUCUGCUCGAGUCUAAAAUAUACAUUGUAUAUAAGAAUUGGUGAUUAGAAAAGCAAAAAACCUAAAACUUAAAUCUAGGAGUCUGUAUACUGUCUCCAUGUCUCCAUGCCUCAGAUCUCAUCUAAAUCUUUGAACAGCACCAUUCAACCAAUCUGAGGCCUUGACUUGCUUGUAAGAUGAUUCUCAGAGAUCGGCUGAGUUAAAAAAGAUGACGACUUGAUUACCAAAGAAAGUAGGGCCAACUUUGACAAAUCUGGCUCUGCUGACCCUGUCACUCCCAGAUGUAGCAUAGACUCCUAAACAGAACCUCAAGUCUGAUUGAGGAUAAGGCCUUCUCCUGAGCUGAAAGUUCUUUGGCAGAUGAGCAAGAAACUGAAAGCUGAUGUACCUGACUGGCUCUGUAAGAUCAGAAAACUGUAUCCAGAAUAAGCCCUAUGGAUUAACCCCUGAGUACCCAGAGUAAAAACUAAUUUACAGAACUUCCUUAUUGAUCUGCUGGUUCUUCCAGAUCAUAUUCUGGCUAUUGGUAUGGCUGGCCUUUCUGAAGGUACCCUGCUUGUCUAUUUUCCUGACUCAGCUCUUGCCUGCCUUUUUCACAUGUUGCUGCAAUUAGACUCACCGUGAGGACUACAGUCAAUUUCAGUCUAUCUUGUGCCCAAUACAACAAGGAUUUUUAAUAGUAACAACCCACACCUCACCCACUAGGACUCAAUGUUCACAACAGGAAGGACCAUUGCUGCAUACUCCUUGACCAGCAACUUUUUUGAAGAUAUUUUUAAGUGCAGAGUAGGCCUCUAUUCCUGUAUGUAAUUGUUCAUUUUCAGCACCUGGAACCUCAUCUAUCGGGUCUGGAAGGAAUACAGCAGUUCGAAAGCCGCGUCCAUUUCUCUCCUUCAGUAGUGCAGAAAUGAGUCCGAUUCACCAGUACACACAGAACUGUACCAGUUCAACCUAGCAAAAGAAGAAAAGUUUCCACUGUACUUAAAAUUUACAGCUGACUCAAAUUGCCUCACAGAAUUAUUUGAUGUAGAAGGCUAGUUGUCUUACUUCAGAUCAGCAGGACAGUUGGGCUCUCAGACUCAUGACCACUGAGUUUGCUUGUGUUGAAACUGUGGUUUCAUCCAACAUAUGCUAUUGGACAUGAUUAUUAUUCCAUUCAAAUGGAUUACAGACUUCUUGAGGACAGGACAAACUUAUCUCUCAUGGUGUUUUUUUAGAAUACUUUUAUAACCAAGGAAGAAACCAUGCCAGCUGUUACCAUUCAACUUCUUAAGCAGAGAUUAAGCUUUUUCAUAUCUGUUCUUAUCCUGGACAUCAGUAGUUUUUAAUUGCCCAGCAUCCGUUCCAUCUUGUAACAACUCCCUGAUGUUUCUUAAAACCACCUCUUCCUAUUUUCAGUCUGUGGUUUGGACAGUCUGACCCAACCUUGAGCUUUGUGGGUGAACAUGUAAUUCA
rnacentral:lncRNA from 1 species